GUCAAUGUGGUCUAGUGGUAUGAGCGCUGGGCUGCAACUCUGGAGAACAGGGUUUGAAUCCCUGCUUGGCCA